UUACGUUCGUAGUCACUGCGUUUAGGAUCAUUA
rnacentral:rRNA from 1 species